UAUUGUAAGCAUUCCUCGGAAGAGCUCGCC
rnacentral:sRNA from 1 species